rnacentral:lncRNA from 1 species
AUUAUAGUCCAUCAAGAUGAUGUCUGUGACUCUGCCAUAGUAAGAUACUAAAUCGACCACCUGAGAUGUAUCUUUGGCACUCGAUCUACAAACUGCUGUAGCCUCAUAAUAAACUCCACUAUUCUGACUUUUCCUAUCAACUGAUAUUGUGUGAAACCUCUGUCCAUUAACUAUGAAUCCUGUGUACGACCUUGCAGAACAACGAGGCCCAUAAGCUAUCCACUUAAGUGUUUCUUCAUGUUCGGUUGAAUCAAGUGGCACUUGAUAAAGUAAUAACAAGUCAUACACCAAAGCAGUAGGCAGACCAUAACCAAGGGAAAUUUAAAAAAUACAAAUACUUGUUCUUUAAGCCACGAUGCAAAAUGUUUAGUAUGCAUACUCCAUAACGUUGAUGCAUCUCGAAAACAUCUUUCAUCUGUGUCUUGUAAAUACUGAAAAUGCGCACUUGUAACAGAUUGAAAACCGAAAUGAGUAUAUCAAAUAGUUGAUUAUACAUAUACCUAAACAAUGAAAAGUAAUUAAGAUACUUACUCUACAUAUGGUCGACGAUAGCCAUAUUUUGGAUGAUAGCUAGAUGUGCAACUCUCUUUUCCAUUUAUGUGAGAGUAAAGGUAGUGCCACUGGAUAUCGGAUGACCCUCUAAGAUAGAAUUGUUUUCAUACUCCAUGUUUCUAUCUACUUUCUCUUGGACAUUUGUUGUCUUCUUCAGGAACUCACUGCAAAACCGGAUACAUUCCUCAACUAGAUAGGACUCAGCAAUGCAUCCCUCGGGCCUUGCAGGAUUUCUCACAAAGUAUUUGAGAACUUUCAUGUAAAUAGGUAAGUAAAAGAGGGCUUCAAAAUUUUAAAAAUUCAUAUAUAACAUACCUUUCAAAAGGGUACAUCCAUCUAAGGUGGACUGGUCCACCAAGCCGAGCUUCUCUUCCUAGAUGCACAGUCAAAUGGAGCAUGAUAUCAAACAAACUUGGAGGAAAAAAUCUUUCAAACAAGCACAGAGUCUCAACAAUCUCAGCUUCCAUAACCAGAAGCUUCUCCCUGUCAAUGACUCUCUGACACAGCAGAUUGAAGAAAGCGCAUAACCUAAAUAUUGCAAGCCUCGGUCCUUUAGGUAGCAACCCUUUAAGUGCAAUCGGCAGAAGUUGUUGCAUCAGGACGUGGUAGUCAUGUGAUUUCAGACCAC